rnacentral:rRNA from 1 species
AUUGAACGCUGGCGGCAUGCCUUACACAUGCAAGUCGAACGGCAGCAUGACCUAGCUUGCUAGAUUGAUGGCGAGUGGCGAACGGGUGAGUAAUACAUCGGAACGUGCCCUGUAGUGGGGGAUAACUAGUCGAAAGAUUAGCUAAUACCGCAUACGACCUGAGGGUGAAAGUGGGGGACCGCAAGGCCUCAUGCUAUAGGAGCGGCCGAUGUCUGAUUAGCUAGUUGGUGAGGUAAAGGCUCACCAAGGCGACGAUCAGUAGCUGGUCUGAGAGGACGAUCAGCCACACUGGGACUGAGACACGGCCCAGACUCCUACGGGAGGCAGCAGUGGGGAAUUUUGGACAAUGGGCGAAAGCCUGAUCCAGCAAUGCCGCGUGUGUGAAGAAGGCCUUCGGGUUGUAAAGCACUUUUGUCCGGAAAGAAAUGGCUCUGGUUAAUACCUGGGGUCGAUGACGGUACCGGAAGAAUAAGGACCGGCUAACUACGUG